UCGAGCUGUAUGAAGGGAAACUCUCACGUACAGUUUUUUUUUUUUGGGGGGGGGAGGAGCCCGACAGCCACUGACUUGGCCCGGGCCUAAGUGAAAGUGAAGUGGUGGGCCUACCCAUCCCAAC
rnacentral:ncRNA from 1 species